rnacentral:rRNA from 1 species
ACUGUCGCCGUUGAUUUCUCACCUUCUGGAGAAGCUCGGUGUCCUUAAUUGGGUGUCUUGCGGAACCAGGACCUUUACCUUGAAAAAAUUAGAGUGUUUAAAGCAGGCAUUUUUUGCUCGAAUACAUUAGCAUGGAAUAAUGGAAUAGGACGGCGUGGUUCUAUUUUGUUGGUUUCUAGGAUCACCGUGA